rnacentral:rRNA from 1 species
UGAGGGAAUAUUGGGUCAAUGACCGAGAGGCUGAACCAGCCAAGUCGCGUGAGGGAUGAAGGUUCUAUGGAUCGUAAACCUCUUUUAUAAGGGAAUAAAGUGCGGGACGUGUCCCGUUUUGUAUGUACCUUAUGAAUAAGGAUCGGCUAACUCCGUGCCAGCAGCCGCGGUAAUACGGAGGAUCCGAGCGUUAUCCGGAUUUAUUGGGUUUAAAGGGUGCGUAGGCGGCCUUUUAAGUCAGCGGUGAAAGUCUGUGGCUCAACCAUAGAAUUGCCGUUGAAACUGGGGGGCUUGAGUAUGUUUGAGGCAGGCGGAAUGCGUGGUGUAGCGGUGAAAUGCAUAGAUAUCACGCAGAACCCCGAUUGCGAAGGCAG